UACGAAGGGGGCUAGCGUUGUUCGGAGUUACUGGGCGUAAAGGGCGCGUAGGCGGCGCACCAAGUCAGGCGUGAAAGCCCUGGGCUCAACCCGGGAAUUGCGCUUGAGACUGGUGUGCUUGAGUACGGGAGAGGAUAGUGGAAUUCCCAGUGUAGAGGUGAAAUUCGUAGAUAUUGGGAAGAACACCAGUGGCGAAAGCGGCUUCCUGGUCCAGCAUCGACGUUCAGGCACGAAAGCGUGGGGAGCAAACAGG
rnacentral:rRNA from 1 species